rnacentral:rRNA from 1 species
UGCAAGUCGAGCGAAAGAAGGGAGCUUGCUCCCGGAUGUUAGCGGCGGACGGGUGAGUAACACGUGGGUAACCUGCCUGUAAGACUGGGAUAACUCCGGGAAACCGGAGCUAAUACCGGAUAGUUCCUUGAACCGCAUGGUUCAAGGAUGAAAGACGGUUUCGGCUGUCACUUACAGAUGGACCCGCGGCGCAUUAGCUAGUUGGUGGGGUAAUGGCUCACCAAGGCGACGAUGCGUAGCCGACCUGAGAGGGUGAUCGGCCACACUGGGACUGAGACACGGCCCAGACUCCUACGGGAGGCAGCAGUAGGGAAUCUUCCGCAAUGGACGAAAGUCUGACGGAGCAACGCCGCGUGAGUGAUGAAGGUUUUCGGAUCGUAAAGCUCUGUUGUUAGGGAAGAACAAGUGCGAGAGUAACUGCUCGCACCUUGACGGUACCUAACCAGAAAGCCACGGCUAACUACGUGCCAGCAGCCGCGGUAAUACGUAGGUGGCAAGCGUUGUCCGGAAUUAUUGGGCGUAAAGGGCUCGCAGGCGGUUUCUUAAGUCUGAUGUGAAAGCCCCCGGCUCAACCGGGGAGGGUCAUUGGAAACUGGGAAACUUGAGUGCAGAAGAGGAGAGUGGAAUUCCACGUGUAGCGGUGAAAUGCGUAGAGAUGUGGAGGAACACCAGUGGCGAAGGCGACUCUCUGGUCUGUAACUGACGCUGAGGAGCGAAAGCGUGGGGAGCGAACAGGAUUAGAUACCCUGGUAGUCCACGCCGUAAACGAUGAGUGCUAAGUGUUUAGGGGGUUUCCGCCCCUUAGUGCUGCAGCUAACGCAUUAAGCACUCCGCCUGGGGAGUACGGUCGCAAGACUGA